GACGAACGCUGGCGGCGUGCCUAAUACAUGCAAGUAGAACGCAGUUGCGAACGGGUGAGUAACGCGUAGGUAACUGCCUCAUAGAGGGGGAUAACUAUUGGAAACGAUAGCUAAUACCGCAUAAUGUGAGAUGGACCUGCGUUGUAUUUGCUAGUUGGGGAGGUAAAGGCUCACAAAGGCGACGAUACAUAGCCGACCUGAGAGGGUGAUCGGCCACACUGGGACGGAGACACGGCCCAGACUCCUACGGGAGGCAGCAGUAGGGAAUCUGCUGCAAUGGACGUAAGUCUGACCGAGCAACGCCGCGUGAGUGAAGAAGGUUUUCGGAUCGUAAAGCUCUGUUUUUAGAGAAGCGUUAACUAACCAGAAAGGGACGGCAAAUUCCGUGCCAGCAGCCGCGGUAUUC
rnacentral:rRNA from 1 species